rnacentral:rRNA from 1 species
AGAGUUUGAUCCUGGCUCAGGAUGAACGCUAGCGACAGGCUUAACACAUGCAAGUCGAGGGGCAGCGAGGGAGUGGCAACACUUCUGUCGGCGACCGGCGCACGGGUGAGUAACGCGUAUGCAACCUACCCUUCACAGGGGGAUAACCGGGAGAAAUUCCGACUAAUACCGCAUACGUCCUCCGGGGGCAUCCCCUGGGGAUGAAAGAAUUAUCGGUGAAGGAUGGGCAUGCGUGAUAUUAGGUAGUUGGCGGGGCAACGGCCCACCAAGCCCACGAUAUCUAGGGGUUCUGAGAGGAAGGUCCCCCACAUUGGUACUGAGACACGGACCAAACUCCUACGGGAGGCAGCAGUGAGGAAUAUUGGUCAAUGGACGAGAGUCUGAACCAGCCAAGUCGCGUGAAGGAAGACGGAUCUAUGGUUUGUAAACUUCUUUAGUGCGGGAACAAAGCGGCGUCGUGACGCCGGAUGAGUGUACCGCAAGAAUAAGCAUCGGCUAACUCCGUGCCAGCAGCCGCGGUAAUACGGAGGAUGCGAGCGUUAUCCGGAUUUAUUGGGUUUAAAGGGAGCGCAGGCUGCGAGGCAAGUCAGCGGUCAAAUGUCGGGGCUCAACCCCGGCCUGCCGUUGAAACUGUCCUGCUAGAGUUCGAGUGAGGUAUGCGGAAUGCGUUGUGUAGCGGUGAAAUGCAUAGAUAUGACGCAGAACUCCGAUUGCGAAGGCAGCAUACCAACUCGCGACUGACGCUGAGGCUCGAAAGCGUGGGUAUCGAACAGGAUUAGAUACCCUGGUAGUCCACGCAGUAAACGAUGAAUACUAACUGUUCGGAGGGCGACCUCUGAGUGGUAAAGCGAAAGCGUUAAGUAUUCCACCUGGGGAGUACGCCGGCAACGGUGAAACU